rnacentral:piRNA from 1 species
UACAUCAUUACAGUUCCUCGAGGUAGCA